UACAUAUUUCCAAACAACAUUAUAUUUUUUUUAUACAGUUAUCCAUGUUUUUAAAGAAUUCUCAAAUGUACUUCAGUUUUAAUAACAUAGAUAUUCGCAGGCAAUAUAGUAGAUCCGAUUAAUUAAGGCAGCAAACCGGAAAAAAAAUGGUGUCGUACAAUUAAAUUUUUUUAUAUGAUGUAAUUUCAAUAUACAUAAGACAUAAUAUUAUGUCAUAAUAAUUAAUAGAUUCAUAUAUAAAGCAGUAAACAUGAAAUUAAAUGGAAUCCUUAUGAAAUAUACAUAACAGUAAUUGUUCUUGUAUUAAAUGUUUUCUGUUAACCGCUUGGAACAUUAAACCAUAAAUGAAUAUUUAUAAAAGAGUUACGAUUGGUAAGGAAAGAGGUGAUGAUUGGUUACUAAAAUCAAUUGAAUUGAAUUUUGAUUUUGGUAAUGUUAUUAAUCAUGGUUUAGAUAGACAGUGGCAUAAAUUUGUAAUAUUAAAGUUGAUGUGAGGGUUAAUUUUAAUUUGUACUUCAAUUUUAAUUAAUAUUACUAGAUUUUGAUCCGCACGCCCGCGCGGAUGUAUGGAACCGGUAAUUCAAAUUUUUGGGUUUGUUGUAAAAUUAAUGAUGUUUUUUAUAGGUUAGUAAGUUCUGACAUUGGUGUUUGGUGUUCAUUUUGUUUUGUGUUUAAUUUUAGAUUAUAACGUUGUCUUGUGUUGUUUUUGUAUUUUUUUUUGCAGUAAAAUUGGUUUUAAAAAUAUUAGAGGGUAAAAUAUUAGAGUGUUUAGUGUAGAAUUUGGAAGUUUAAUAAAAUUAUUCAAAUAUGGGUUGGAUUACUAGCUCAAUAUUUUUAAUGAUUUUUAACAUAAUUCAAGAAAAUAAUAUUGUCAGCAAAAAAUAAAAUUGUUAAAGUAACCCAACCCACAUUUUUUAGAUUAGAUAAGUCUAGCAAUUUUAAUAUUUAACCCAGAUUAGAGUGGACUUUAAACAGUUAUCAAAGCCCAUUUACACUUUUUUCCGGGAAAAAAAACAGAAACACGUAACCCUUCUAUGUCUUUUUUUUCAGAUGAAAGAUCUCUUGAUCCAGUCUCUUUGUCGGUGCCUUCCAUUAAUCUCCUCGACAAAUCCCUAAACUGCUGUGAAAUUUUCACUCAAAGGAUGAAAGAAGAUAGAUCUAUUGAUUACUUCUGGAGAUUUCAAAUAUAGUUUUGUAAUACGAAGACACUACAAUUGGAUAGAUAGAUCCCGUCUCCUGUUUAAUCACGAAGAAAAAGCCUCAGGUGGUUUCAGAUCGGAAAAGAAUCAGAUGACUUAUAACAGUGUUAAUGGUGUUGUGAAACUUCUGUUUCCUGAGCUCAAGGCUAGUGAUGUGUUUAUUGGCAUGGUUAAAACUAAGGCGGAAAGGUACACUAAGUAUGAUGGAUCUUACAAAAUGGAGAAGAUAUUGGAGUUUCUAGGCAAGAACAAGUUUCCCUUGAUUAAAAAAUCGAGUGAAAGCAAUACUGCUUGGGUUUAUUCCACUCCUAUUAAGCUUCAGUUAGGUUAUGAUCUUUGCCAAGGCUGAUGAUUUUCAGAGUAUGGCUCCGCCUCUUGAAGAUAUUGCAAGAAGGUUUAAAUCGAAGCUCAUGUUUAUAUACAUUGAUAUAACAAAGGAGAACCUUGCGAUGCCAUUCUUGACCUUGUUCGGAAUAGAGGAUGCAAACAAAACUGUUGAUGCAGUGCUAAAAGAGAAGUGUAAGAUUGACCUGUGUGUUGUGAGGAUCACUGGCUCAAGUAACAUGUUUGAGGGAAUCAACUUAUCAAGAUGUAGUGAACUUAUGAAAUAAGAGGGAGAGUCGGCUGAUGCUGAUAUUGCAAGCUGUUACUACCACUGGUUGCUGCGAGGAAUCCAUGUUGUCACUACGACACAGGACAGAUCUGCAUGAUGUUGGACGUGGAAAGGUCAAAGUAUCAGUUAUCAAGAUGCAAAAGAAAACAACAACCAUGGGGAUCAACAUCUUAUAAUACGGUUAGUUAUUACUUAUCUCUUCUAAGUAAGUCGUAAGGUUUCUGAAGUAGGGCAGUGUAGAAUAAGGUUUUAGAUUAGAGAACCCUGCCUUUAGUUAGUAUGCUUUGUUUUGACUUGCUUGAGUGUUGCUUGGUAAGGGUAUAUGUUAAUGAUAGUCUUAUAUAACAUGCGCUUUAUUUUGAUAUGGUUUUAAAGACCAAAAAACUCAUGCAUCUGUCUAUAUCAAAAGAAUAACAAACUUAUUGCAUUCCAGAUUCGUUGGAAAAGAAAACAAAUGUUGUUUGCAUAACUAUUAGAGAACUUUGUGAACCAGCAAGCAUGCUUCCACCAUAGAACAUGUCAACUUCUGAGAUCUGCUAAGAACAAAUAGUUUUUAUUAUAUGUAAUGGGCGAGUCAAAACACAUUCCCUGGUUUUUAAAACAAAGAUCACAUCCAAACAAAAACUGUAUAUGACAUCAAAAAUAUGAAAAGACAUAACUUAUUACCUCAUUUGUUAAAGGUUGUCGAAAACUUCUUUGAAAACUACAUUCUUAGUUUGUUUAUGUGGUUUGCCAUCUUCGUCUAAAAUCAGAAUUUUCAAUCCCUUUUUGGAAGUCACUCUAGAAACAGCAACAUAUAACUGACCAUGUGAAAAGACAGGUCUUGGUAGAUAAAGACCUACUUGAGAUAGUGAUUGCCCUUGACUUUUGUUGAUUGUGAUUGCGAAAGCCACAGCAAGAGGCAUUUGUCUUCUUCUCAUUUUGAAUGGCAAUCUGGUGUCAGAAGGGGUUAUUAGCAAUCUAGGAAUAUCAACUAUCUCCCAAUUCUCUCUCCUGUUAUAAUCCUAGCUUGAACCAUAAAAUCCAUUACCUGAGUGAUCUGCAGUCGUCCCAUUCAUUAAGCCAUCAGAAGGAGCUAUGUUUCUCAAAACCAUAACAGGACAACCAACCUUUAGUCUAAGACUAUGGUUUGGUAAACCAGGAACCUUAAUUGUGUUUAGAAAAUCAGCACUAAGAGCUUCAUUGUUCACAGCACUUGUAUCAGAAGGAUCAAUGCUAUCAGCAUUAUUAUAAGUUUUUUCCUCACCUGAAAGAGAAAACAUAUAUUUGGAGAAUAAGACUCAAAUACAAAGAAAGCGAAAUCAAUAGAUGAAAAUAGCGAAAUUUACCUUCUAGCUUGUCCAACAUAUAUUCAUUAACUGUAUUAACAUCCUCGUUAGUUGGACAGAGGAUAGCUCUCUCUUGAAAAAACUUGGCUCUUUCUUUUCAUGCAAUGAAGUUGCUGUGCCAUAAAUCUCUUCGCUGAUUGCUUCUAUAGGAUCAUUACAGUCUGUAAUCAAAAAUUCAGGGGGAAUUUCUAUCUCUGCCUCACCAUCAUUAGGCUCUGAAAGUUUACCAUCACCAACUUUUAAUAUCCACUCUGAAAAUUCUUUAAGAUCCUUUGCCUCUGCUGGUGACAAUCCUGCUGAUAGCAAUCUCAUAUUCUUGAAGAGUUAAGAACUUUGCAGUGCGUCCAAAGAUAGGAUGAGUUAAGUGAGGCCAUAACUAUUUCAGCUCUACCAGCACCAUUUAUAACAGGCAAAACCUGCCUAAAAUCACCACCAAACACCAUAACCUUUCCACCGAAUGGUUGUGUGUCGUGUUUCCGAACAAUAUCAGAUAAACUUUUAUCCAAAGCCUCAAAACAAUGCUUGCUCAUUCUUCAUCCCAGAUGAUAAGUGAUGAUGCUUUCACUAAAUUAGCUUGGUCACUUCCAUGCUUCAUUGUACAUGAAGAAAACUCGUCUGGAUUUAGAGGAAUGCCGAAUCUGGAAUGUGCUGUCCGACCACCAGGCAACAACAGUGAUGCAAUGCCGCUUGAAGCCACAUUUAGAACAAUAUCUCCUCUAGAUCUGAUAGCUGCAGAAAGCAAUUUCCAUAGAAAAGUUUUCCCUGUUCCACCAAAACCACUGACAAAAAACAUUCCACCAUCUCCUUUAUUAACAGCAGAAAGAAUCUCCUCAUAUAUCUUUCUUUGCUCGCACGUCAUCUUCGGAAGAUCUCUUCGAAGAGUCUCUAACAAAGCAGAACGCUCGUAGCUGCGUUCGUCUAGCACCAAAACAUUUUCAUCGUGGCUACUUGUCUUUGGCGGUCUAGGCAUAGAAUCAAAUUUGGCGAGAGAAGUUCCAGACCUUUUCAAUAUUUUUUCAAUCUCAAGUAAAGCAUACUUCUUUUUGUCGUCAUCACUCAGAAACAGACCUAUAAUAAAUAUGAAAAAGGCAAGAAUCUAAAACUUAAAUUCAUGUAUCUAAAUUGAACAAUCUCAGGUCAUAAACUAAAAACAUACCUGGUCUAUUAAAAUUCCUUCUCCUAGAGUGCUCGAUAUCUUCAGACAAAAACAUCCAAGUGGUUUCCCAUACUGACUCCGGCUUAGAUAAAGUGUUACUCAUAAGCAUCAUAGCAAACACUUUCCGUAGCUCACUUGCUGUGCUCUCAAAACUUCUUCUUACUAUGUCAUCAAUGUACUCCUGAUAAUCAUCUAAUAACCCACGAGCAUAACAUGCUUCUUUGUAGCUUGGAUAGAGAACAUCUUGGUAUGUUUUAAUGUCCUCAUAACUCGUGGGUCCCAUGACAACAUUCAACAAUACACGCAAGUAAUAAGCAUCUUCCUGGGUCCUAUGAGCAUAGUUAAUCCUCCCCAAAGCAAAUCCCCGUUUCCUCAUGUUGAACUUCUUUGACCUUUUGUCGUAAGUAUAGAAGCUUGGGAUCUGAGCAUAGGUCAAUGUUCUUGCGAAGGAGUCAAUCUUGUUCAACUCAAACCAAGCUAAGAACAUUGUAUUUUGAAUGAGCUUCCGGGUGAGAACUGCUUUCAAUUUGUCUUUCCCUCUGAAUGUAAUAACUUGCUUUCCGGGGAGAUGGAAACUAAGCUUCUCAACAGCAGUUGAUCGAUAGUGAAUAGGAAAUUUGAAUACUCUCCAUGUUCCUUCACACGUUGACACGUAUCUGAAAAAAAAACAUAUAGUUAAAAAUCGCAGCUUAAUUAAUGAACUGGUAUACUGUAAAGAAAAACAAUGCUACUAUUACCUGCAAUCGAAGAAUUCCUUGAGUUCAUUCCUUUUCUUAUCAAGAUUCUCUUUAUUAAGCUCAACAUCUCCUAACUCACUUGCAACAAUGUUGUCUGGUGGUUCAACAGCAACUGUGACACGAUCCUGUCCUUUAUUAAUGUAUUUGAAUAAAUACUUUAUAGACCCAACUUGGUUGCACCACUCGACGUUGAUAUGAGCUCCGUAAAGAAGAGAUAACUUCCGGUUAUAAGGAAUGACACUCCGAUUGUCACAUCUCACUCCAUUCUUCAUAACAAAGUUCUCUGACUGCUGACACCUCUUGUAAACCGGAAAUCCUUCCUUAUUAAUAGUGGUCUUCUCAGAAAAUGAUUUAGGAUAUGACUUAGAGCAACCACUACAAGAAAACACAUGCUUGACGACGAAAAUUAACGAGGAAAAACAAUCCUCGUAAAUUUGCGUCGAGUUUACGACGAAUUUACGUGAAAAACUAAAGUCAUCGUUAUUUCCGCGUAACGUAACGACAAAACUGUUUCGUCGUAAAGUGGAUGUAAUUU